GGAGGAUUUCCCGAGCGGCCAAGGGGGCAGACUGUAAAUCUGUUGUCAUCGACUUCGGUGGUUCGAAUCCACCAUCCUCCACCA
rnacentral:tRNA from 1 species